UACGGAGGGUGCGAGCGUCGUCCGGAAUCAUUGGGCGUAAAGGGCGCGUAGGUGGCCCGGUCAGUUCGUGGUGAAAGCGCGGGGCUCAACCCUGCGUCGGCCAUGAAUACUGCCGCGGCUGGAGCACUGUAGAGGCAGGCGGAAUUCCGGGUGUAGCGGUGGAAUGCGUAGAGAUCCGGAAGAACACCGGUGGCGAAGGCGGCCUGCUGGGCAGUUGCUGACACUGAGGCGCGACAGCGUGGGGAGCAAACAGG
rnacentral:rRNA from 1 species